UACGUAGGGUGCAAGCGUUGUCCGGAAUUAUUGGGCGUAAAGAGCUCGUAGGCGGUCUGUCGCGUCGGCUGUGAAAACCCGGGGCUCAACCCCGGGCCUGCAGUCGAUACGGGCAGACUAGAGUGCGGUAGGGGAGACUGGAAUUCCUGGUGUAGCGGUGAAAUGCGCAGAUAUCAGGAGGAACACCGGUGGCGAAGGCGGGUCUCUGGGCCGUAACUGACGCUGAGGAGCGAUAGCGUGGGGAGCGAACAGG
rnacentral:rRNA from 1 species